GCUGGGUGUGGUGGUGCACACCUGUAGUCCCAGCUGCUUGGGAAGCUGAGGUGGGAGGAACGCCUGAGCCCAGGAAGUUGAGGCUGCAGUGGUUGGUGAUUGCACCACUGCACUCCAGCCUGAGCAACAGAGUGAGACCCCAUCUCAA
ensembl:misc_RNA Metazoa_SRP Metazoan signal recognition particle RNA